CUAUCCCAGGAGGUGGGGAGUGGAGAGCUUUGCAGUCCCAGGCUACAGCUCGGGAUGUGGAGCUGCCUUCCUAGGCCAGAAGAGAGAUGCUGAGAACACCAGGCUGGCAGACAUGGGGUCUUCCUAUGUUGCCCAGCCUGGUCUUGAACUCCUGGUCUCAAGUGAUCCUACUGCCUUGGCCUCCCAAAGUGCCGGAAUUACAGCUCUCUCGGAAGGAAGUGCUCUCAUCACCCACGACAACAGAGUUGGCCUGAGGAGCCAAAAACGUGCACAGGGGCUCCAAGCCCAGCUCUCCUUCUGUUCAGGGCAGCCUCAGAGACAGGAAGAUGGGAAGAAAGUACAGCCUGGGAUAGAACAUCCUGCGAGCCCCUUACAAAGCCCCAGCUGUGGGGGAAGGGAACGAGAGGAGGGGGCCAGAGGAAGGGGGUCCAGGACACACCGAUUUUGUACAAUGAGCUCCUUUCAUCCAUGAAUAGAGGACUCUCCUCAACUCUGUCUCAAUGGCUUUGUUUCUGAAACGAUCAAUUCUACACCCAGAAAGCCAAAUUUGCCAGACCUCGUGCCAAGGUCAGGCAAGAGCCUGAGAUCCCCCAAGCAAGUUGAUAAUCAACACGCAGGAGACGUCACUGUGCUAAGUCCCGUUUGGCAGAUCCAAAGCUUACAACGAUCCACUUUUAUUUCCACGCUUUCUGCGGUGGGGCGGGGUUGGGGGACCCUUGCUCACAUGCAUGCCACGCUUGGUGGAACUGUAGGCUCUAUUCAGGAUAGUAAGUGUUACUUUCCCAGGGACUUCAUUGAGACAUCUGUGGGGAGGGCAGGAUGAGAAAGAGCUGGAGGAAAAAGAUGCAAGGUAAAGUGUGUGGUCUCGAAUUGAACACAUUCAUGAAGUGGCAGGAAGCAUCCCUAGUGACUCAGCAGUGGCCUCUGUUUAGCCAGCACUUUGAGAACACGAUCUUCAUGGGCUGACGGCAGAGGUGGCCAACAGAAACUGGAAUCUACAAGCAGUAUUCAGCUCAGGCAUAGUUUGUUCAGCCUGCACAAUGUUUUCAAAAGAACAACAAAAACCUACACAGCAUGCCAACGCUUCACAUUCAGGACGUUUCACAUAAACUGCAAAGUUCUGGCAUUUUUUUUGGAAAAAUCAGAAGACCUGGCUACACAAAUCCAGCAUUUUCCUAAGAGACUGCCUCUCUGGCACUGGGACGCAGUUAUCCCUCUCGGAAGGGUCACAGGCCCUCCAGCUUGCCACGGUCCCUGCCCCAGACACAUGUCCUUUACUUAUUAUGGCUGCCGGUGUGGCUGCUGUGGGCAUUGGAGUUUGUAAUCUCUGGUUCAGUGGGUCCUAAGCUAAGCCCAGCACUUUCAGCUGGAGGACCUGAACUUAAGAGAGAAGGACCAGAUAUGAACCAUAGACUGGUUGUAAAGUAACAUGGCUGCAAAGUCCAAGAAUAAUUUAACUCAAGAAGCACCUAUGAAUGCAAACCCAGGAAUACAAGGCAGAGAGCACAGCUGACUCCCAUGGAUAGGGUUGGGAGUCCCGUCUUCUCAUCAGCCCCUGUUAUAUACUCUUUUAACAACGUGUCCCACUUCCCCAAGACCAGGGACUAUCUCCUCUGUUCUUACGCUUAAUGAAGUCCUGAGACUGCCACAUAGAAAGCACUUGGUAAAUUCUUGUUGAACCCAAAUCAGUUGAAACCCAAGUCAUGUUAUAGGUGGAAUCUGACAGAUGUAUGCUGAGAACUCAGCCAACUUGUGAGCUGUAGGAUGUUUUCCUGACUGCAAGUCAAGGCAACUCCUCCCUAUAAAGAAGAGUCUGGGGUGUAAAUGACACAGCAGGAGACAAGCUCAACCUACCGAUUGGCUAAUGUCUGAGAUGAGGAAGCAGAAAGGUUAGUCUUUAUAGGAUACGUAGUCCCCAAGACCAGGGACCAGGACCACGAUGAGCUAUGGUCUGUUAGGAAGGUAUUACAUGUGUUGACUUCAUAAAAUUAAAGCAUGUUCCAACUUAUCAAAGGAUGCAAAAACUCCACAGAAGAAAGGAAGGACCUCACGUGGUGGCAGGUGCAGCAUAUUUUACUGUAGCCUUUCUGGGUCUAAAAAGGUAAAAUGAGGUUUAUCACAUCUGCUUUUGCUGUGUGUAGCCAUGGCUAGUUUUCUCCAGUUCUGUAUAUGAGAGAGAGAGAGAGAGAGAGUGUGUGUGUGUGUGUGAAUACACAUGUGUGUACACAUACAUUUGUGAGUGUUCACACGUACAUAGAGGUAUGCAUGAUGUGUGGUCUCUCUCAUUCAACACCCCUCCCCCCAAAAAAGAAAGCUGCUAUGGGAUCUGUAGAUUUUGUUUGCUGACUAUCCCUAAUUCUGGAAUUCCCUGUUCUAAGUUACCCCACUCCUGGUACUAAUUUCAAAUGGCUGUGGGGGAGGGGAAGCUAGCUUCAGGCAAGAAUCCACUAAGCAGUUUUAUUUCUGAGCUGGGAUAGAAGCAGGAAAGAAUAACAGGAAAAACAUGCAGCAUCCCAUUUCUGCACUUUGCAUUUAGUUGUAAUUAUUCAUGCAGGAGCAUCUUUAAACACCAAACGAGGGAAAUAUUACAGUUGUUCUGAUUUCACAUGCUAACUGUGUUUACAUGCUAACAGCAUUUCUCAGGGACAAUUAUCUUAUUACUAGUACACUAAUCUUUUCAAUCUUUUCAACACAGUUUACAGCUGCAGACUUCAAAAAUUAAGGCUAAUUAAGACCCUGCGUUCAGCAGGUACAGUAAACUACUCACAUUCCAACAGGGUAAAAGAAAAUCAGUUUAGGAGAAAGGGUGUUAGAGGGGCACAGUGUCAAUGGCAGACCGAAGACAUUAGAAAGCGUCCAUCAGUUUGAGGUCUACAACUCUCCCAAUGCUGACGUUCAAGAACAAGUUCCAUUAAUGGAAAGGCCUGUAGAAUGCAGGACCAAGGACAGCUGGUCUGGCCCAUUUUUAGGAGAAAGGGGGUAUUUUGCAUUCAAUUAUCAGUUUCCAGUCAUUAUCUUCUUCCGUGUGACUUUAGCAUAGAAUAGUGGCUAAGAACAUGGAAACUUGUACCAGAGCAUCUGUGUACAAAUGCCAGUUCAAUUAUUUUCUCGAGCAAAUUACUCGAGAGCUUGGUGCCUCAGUUUCCUCAUAUGCCAAGUAGGAAUAAUACUAAUGAUAUAUACCUACUUCCCAGGUCUAUUAGGAUUAAUUGAGUAUCUGUAAAGCACUUACAAUCAUGUCCGAUCAUAAUCAUCACAUAUGUAUUUCUUCUAAAAAGUGUGGUCUAUAAGGACUAACAACAAACAUCUGUUUUCUAACACAUUCUUGACCUCACAUGUACUCACUACAUUAUGGGCCACUUGAGGGCUGCUAAUAUAUAAUCAUAGCUAUAUUUAUUGUGCCUGUUAGCAAUACAUUCUCCAGUUACUUGCCCUGCUAUCUCAUUAGCUGCCAUAUAAAACCAGCACCUUGGAUCAUCUAAUAUUAUUUUUUGUUUUGUUUCAUUUUAAAUCACAGAGAAGCAGAAUGCUCUCUGAAGGGCUGUUGUUGGAAUCCAUAUUCACAGUCCAGCUUCUCAGAUCCCAAGCCAAAGCUCUGGCAUCCCAAGCUGUGGUGUCUGAGAAAGCAGUAAUCAGCGUCUACAGUGCUCGGGCCACGGACGUUCAUCAGGCACCUACUAUUGCCUGGACCUAGGCUUGAGAGGCUGCUUCUUGAAUGCUCACACCAACUCUCUGGGGUAGGUAAUGCUGGCCCCAUUUUACAGAUGAGGAAACUGAGGCUUCAGACAAUUCUAUAGUCACAGAACUUGGGAAUAAAACAAAG